rnacentral:rRNA from 1 species
AUUGAACGCUGGCGGCAGGCCUAACACAUGCAAGUCGAGCAGUAACACAGGGAGCUUGCUCCCGGGUGACGAGCGGCGGACGGGUGAGUAAUGUCUGGGAAACUGCCUGAUGGAGGGGGAUAACUACUGGAAACGGUAGCUAAUACCGCAUAAUGUCGCAAGACCAAAGAGGGGGACCUUCGGGCCUCUUGCCAUCAGAUGUGCCCAGAUGGGAUUAGCUAGUAGGUGGGGUAACGGCUCACCUAGGCGACGAUCCCUAGCUGGUCUGAGAGGCGAGCCAGUCACACUGGAACUGAGACACGGUCCAGACCCCUACGGGAGGCAGCAGUGGGGAAUAUUGCACAAUGGGCGCAAGCCUGUUGCAGCCAUGCCGCGUGUAUGAAGAAGGCCUUCGGGUUGUAAAGUACUUUCAGCGGGGAGGAAGGCGAUAAGGCUAAUAACCUUGUCGAUUGACGUUACCCGCAGAAGAAGCACCGGCUAACUCCGUGCCAGCCGCCGCAGUAA